AGGGAAGCCAACCCAUGUUCUUGAGGAUCGAGCUUGCUGCUGAGGAAUCAGGAGACAAGUCAAAGUAAAAGAAGAUACAACUCACAAACUUAAAGACAACACAUAAAUAAAAAAAGAUUAAAAGAUCAGAUCAUUGGCUUUAAGGCCUUGUAGGGUUUCUUCUUUCUUUUUCUACUUGGCAGUACAAUGAGAUUUUCAGGCCCCUAUAUGUUUCUCUUCCUGGCUUUCUUCUUCUAUUUGGUGUUUGCUAUUCAAGGGAAAGAGGAUACCAAUGAACUGGUGGUGGGUUCAGGGAGUUCCGUGAAUGUGGGAAGAGGUGGGUGUGACAAGAAGGAAAGUGUUGAGUGCAGAGAAGGAAAUGGAGGAGCAGAAGAGUGUUUUUGAGAGCGAGGACUACAUCUACACCAACUCCCUACCUUAGUUACACCUUCUUGUGAUCUAAAUUUGGGUUUCAUUUGGAUCACCUUUUUUCUAACAAGUUCUAUUUCUUUUUCUUUUCUAUAUCCCAAUGGAAAAAUGCUAAUUUCAGCUUCUUUUAUGUUAAUUUCAGCUUCUUUUU